rnacentral:rRNA from 1 species
GACGAACGCUGGCGGCGUGCUUAACACAUGCAAGUCGAGCGGUAAGGCCCUUUCGGGGGUACACGAGCGGCGAACGGGUGAGUAACACGUGGGUGACCUGCCCUCAGCUCUGGGAUAAGCCUGGGAAACUGGGUCUAAUACUGGAUAUGACUCCACGGUGCAUGUCGUGGGGUGGAAAGCCUUGUGCGGCUGAGGAUGGGCCCGCGGCCUAUCAGCUUGUUGGUGGGGUGAANGGGCCUACCAAGGCGACGACGGGUAGCCGGCCUGAGAGGGCGACCGGCCACACUGGGACUGAGACACGGCCCAGACUCCUACGGGAGGCAGCAGUGGGGAAUCUUGCGCAAUGGGCGAAAGCCUGACGCAGCGACGCCGCGUGA